rnacentral:rRNA from 1 species
GCGGGUUUACGACCUCGAUGUUGGAUCAGGGUAUCCCAGUGGUGCAGCCGCUACUAAAGGUUCGUUUGUUCAACGAUUAAAACCCUACGUGAUCUGAGUUCAGACCGGAGCAAUCCAGGUCAGUUUCUAUCUAUAAAGGGCUUUUUCUAGUACGAAAGGACCGAAAAAACAUGGCCCAUGUAUCAUACAAGCCAUACUUAAUAAUUUAUGAUUUAAACUUAAUAAAUUCUUACCCUAUUUAUUUAUCUCUAAACAAGAGAAGUU